rnacentral:lncRNA from 1 species
GAGCCCCCAGGAGGGUUAAAUAUGGUAUGUGAGCAAAUGAUGAACAGAUCAGCGCUUCCUCCUACUGUCCCCCGAAGGUCGUUUUCACAACAGGAUCAGCUGCACAACACUCACAAAACAGAAAUGGACUCAAAGAUAGAAACUCCAAAACCGGCUGGAUUCCUGUUACUCCAUAACAGCUGGCCCCUCAGGGAGGACUUGCCUCUUGGGUGGCCGUGUACCUGAUUCUCCCACCUGCCUUGCAGCUUGUCCUUGCCUGCCUCCAGAGGCUUCCGUGGAGUCAGAGCCUUUGAGGCCCUCUCUUGCUCUUAUGUCCAGGUAACAUGGAGCAAAGAUAGAGCUGAAUUUUAAGAACCGCCCUGUCAGGGGAAACCACUCAUUAAAGUCAAACUCCUUGGCCGCAAAACCGCAGGUGGGGGUAGAACAGGACCACAGAGGUUGCCUUCAUCCUGCACGUAUUUACUUUUUUCAAAGGUCAUCUUUUGGCUUGAGAAGAGGAAGGAAAGCACUGUUAUUUUAAUUUCUCUAAAAGUUACAGUAGAAAGCAAAACCAGAGGCACCAAAAAAGCAAUUCCCAAAACUCAGCUCAGUGCCCUCCAACACAAAGUGUUCAGAUAACAUUUCUCCAAUAAAUAAGCCGCUCUGGGGGUGCAGCCACUGAGGCAGGGCCGCUUCCUGCUGGGUAGCAUGGGUGGCCUUUGGUGACUGCCCACACAUUGUGCAGGGUGUGGACCAAA